rnacentral:misc_RNA from 1 species
GAUGAAGAACGCAGUGAAAUGCGAUACUUGGUGUGAAUUGCAGAAUCCCGUGAACCAUCGAGUCUUUGAACGCAAGUUGCGCCCGAAGCCACUAGGCCGAGGGCACGCCUGCCUGGGCGUCACACGCCGUUGCCCCCCCAUCUACUCCUUCGGGAUUGCGGGGGGGCGGAUGAUGGCCUCCCGUGCGCCUAGCCGCGCGGUUGGCAUAAAUACCAAGUCCUCGGCGACGCACGCCACGACAAUCGGUGGUUGCGAAACCUCGGUUGCCCGUCGUGUGCGUUCGUCGCGCAUCGAGGGCUCGAAAAAAUGCUCGGCUCCGGCUGGGCUUUCAACGCGACCCCAGGUCAGGCGGGGUUACCCGCUGAAUUUAAGCAUAUCAAUAAGCGGAGGA